GUGCUUGUUUCGGCAGCACAUAUACUAAAAUUGGAACAAUACAGGGAAGAUUAUCAUGGUCCCUGCGCAAGGAUGACAUGCUUUAGAAAAAAAAACUAAACUGGGGA